UACGGAAGGUGCAAGCGUUGUUCGGAAUGACUGGGCGUAAAGCGCACGUAGGCGGGCCUUUAAGUCGCAUGUGAAAUCCCACGGCUCAACCGUGGAACUGCUUGGUAUACUGGUCGUCUUGAGCCAUCUAGGGGCUGUCGGAACAAAUGGUGGAGCGGUGAAAUGCGUAGAUAUCAUUUGGAACGCCAAAGGUGAAAACAGACAGCUGGGGAUGUGCUGACGCUGAGACACGAAAGCCAGGGGAGCGAACGGG
rnacentral:rRNA from 1 species